UGGGGAAUUUUGCACAAUGGGGGAAACCCUGAUGCAGCGACGCCGCGUGAUUUAGAAGGCCUUCGGGUUGUAAAAAUCUUUUUUACGGGAUGAAAAUGACAGUACCGUAAGAAUAAGGUCCGGCUAAAUACGUGCCAGCAGCCGCGGUAAUACGUAUGGAGCGAGCGUUGUCCGGAAUCAUUGGGCGUAAAGGGUACGUAGGCGGCCUAGUAAGUUAGAAGUUAAAGAAUAUAGCUCAACUAUAUAAAGCUUUUAAAACUGCUAGGCUUGAGAGAUGGAAGGGAAAGUGGAAUUCCUAGUGUAGCGGUGAAAUGCGCAGAUAUUAGGAAGAAUACCGGUGGCGAAGGCGACUUUCUGGUCAUCAUCUGACGCUGAGGUACGAAAGCGUGGGUAGCAAACAGG
rnacentral:rRNA from 1 species